rnacentral:rRNA from 1 species
UACGUAGGGGGCUAGCGUUGUCCGGAUUUAUUGGGCGUAAAGAGCGUGUAGGCGGCCAUGUAGGUCCGGUGUGAAAACUCGAGGCUUAACCUCGAGAUGUCAUCGGAAACCAUUUGGCUAGAGUCCGGAAGAGGAGAGUGGAAUUCCUGGUGUAGCGGUGAAAUGCGCAGAUAUCAGGAAGAACACCAAUGGCGAAGGCAGCCAUCUGGACCGACACUGACGCUGAGGCGCGAAAGCGUGGGGAGCAAACAGG